rnacentral:rRNA from 1 species
GACAGAGGGUGCAAACGUUGCUCGGAAUCACUGGGCGUAAAGGGCGUGUAGGCGGGAAGGAUAGUCAGAUGUGAAAGCCCUGGGCUCAACCCAGGAACUGCAUUUGAAACUCCCUUUCUUGAGUGUCGGAGAGGAAAGCGGAAUUCCUGGUGUAGAGGUGAAAUGCGUAGAGAUCAGGAAGAACAUCGGUGGCGAAGGCGCUCUGCUGGACCAUAACUGACACUCAGGGACGAAAGCUAGGGGAGCGAAUGGG